rnacentral:tRNA from 1 species
GAGUGUAUAGCUCAGUGAUACAGUGCAUGCCUAGCAUGCACAAGGCCCUGGGUUCAAUCCCCAGUACCUCCA